rnacentral:rRNA from 1 species
UACGGGGGGGGCAAGCGUUGUUCGGAAUUACUGGGCGUAAAGGGCUCGUAGGCGGCCAACUAAGUCAUACGUGAAAUCCCUCGGCUUAACCGGGGAACUGCGUCUGAUACUGGAUGGCUUGAGUUCGGGAGAGGGAUGCGGGAAUUCCAGGUGUAGCGGUGAAAUGCGUAGAUAUCUGGAGGAACACCGGUGGCGAAGGCGGCAUCCUGGACCGGCAUUGACGCUGAGGCGCGAAAGCCAGGGGAGCAAAGCGGGG